GACGAACGCUGGCGGCGUGCCUAAUACAUGCAAGUCGAACGAGAGCGACCGGUGCUUGCACUGGUCAAUCUAGUGGCGAACGGGUGAGUAACACGUGGGUAACCUGCCCAUCAGAGGGGGAUAACAUCCGGAAACGGAUGCUAAAACCGCAUAGGUCUUCGAGCCGCAUGGCUUGAAGAGGAAAAGAGGCGCAAGCUUCUGCUGAUGGAUGGACCCGCGGUGCAUUAGCUAGUUGGUGAGGUAACGGCUCACCAAGGCCGUGAUGCAUAGCCGACCUGAGAGGGUGAUCGGCCACAUUGGGACUGAGACACGGCCCAAACUCCUACGGGAGGCAGCAGUAAGGAAUCUUCCGCAAUGGACGCAAGUCUGACGGAGCAACGCCGCGUGAGUGAAGAAGGUUUUCGGAUCGUAAAACUCUGUUGUUAGAGAAGAACAAGUGCUAGAGUAACUGUUAGCGCCUUGACGGUAUCUAACCAGAAAGCCACGGCUAACUACGUG
rnacentral:rRNA from 1 species